rnacentral:tRNA from 1 species
UAGCGUCGUUAGUGUGCAAUAACAUCAAUCCGUUGUAGUCUAGUUGGUCAGGAUAUUCGGCUCUCACCCGAAAGACCCGGGUUCAAGUCCCGGCAACGGAAU